rnacentral:rRNA from 1 species
GAUGAACGCUGGCGGCGUGCCUAACACAUGCAAGUCGAACGGAACUUUUAUGGAUUGAGACUUCGGUUGAUUGAAGUUUAAGUUUAGUGGCGGACGGGUGAGUAACGCGUGAGUAACCUGCCUUUCACAGGGGGAUAACGUUUGGAAACGAACGCUAAUACCGCAUGACAUAUCGGAGUCGCAUGGCUCCGGUAUCAAAGAUUUUAUCGGUGAAAGAUGGACUCGCGUCCGAUUAGGUAGUUGGUGAGGUAACGGCCCACCAAGCCGACGAUCGGUAGCCGGACUGAGAGGUUGAACGGCCACAUUGGGACUGAGACACGGCCCAGACUCCUACGGGAGGCAGCAGUGGGGAAUAUUGGUCAAUGGACGCAAGUCUGAACCAGCCAUGCCGCGUGCAGGAAGACGGCUCUAUGAGUUGUAAACUGCUUUGUACAAGGGUAAACCUCGGUACGUGUACCGAGCUGAAAGUAUAAUACGAAUAAGGAUACGGCUAACUCCGUGCCAGCAGCCG